CGUCAGCUCGUGUCGUGAGAUGUUGGGUUAAGUCCCGCAACGAGCGCAACCCUUGCCCUAUGUUGCCAGCGGAUCAUGCCGGGGACUCAUGGGGGACUGCCGGUGAUAAACCGGAGGAAGGUGGGGAUGACGUCAAGUCAUCAUGGCCCUUACGCCCAGGGCUACACACGUGCUACAAUGGCCGGUACAAAGGGCUGCAAACUCGCGAGGGUGAGCCAAUCCCAAAAAGCCGGUCCAAGUUCGGAUUGCAGUCUGCAACUCGACUGCAUGAAGUCGGAAUCGCUAGUAAUCGUGAAUCAGCUACGUCACGGUGAAUACGUUCCCGGGCCUUGUACACACCGCCCGUCACGCCAUGGAAGCCGGGAGUGCCCGAAGUCCGUGACCCAACCCUCGGGAGGGAGCGGCCGAAGGCAAGUUUGGUAACUGGGGCGAAGUCGUAACAAGGUAGCCGUAGGGGAACCUGCGGCUGGAUCACCUCCUUUCUGGA
rnacentral:rRNA from 1 species